ACAAGGAGCUUGCUCCUUUGACGUUAGCGGCGGACGGGUGAGUAACACGUGGGUAACCUACCUAUAAGACUGGGAUAACUUCGGGAAACCGGAGCUAAUACCGGAUAAUAUUUCGAACCGCAUGGUUCGAUAGUGAAAGAUGGUUUUGCUAUCACUUAUAGAUGGACCCGCGCCGUAUUAGCUAGUUGGUAAGGUAACGGCUUACCAAGGCGACGAUACGUAGCCGACCUGAGAGGGUGAUCGGCCACACUGGAACUGAGACACGGUCCAGACUCCUACGGGAGGCAGCAGUAGGGAAUCUUCCGCAAUGGGCGAAAGCCUGACGGAGCAACGCCGCGUGAGUGAUGAAGGUCUUCGGAUCGUAAAACUCUGUUAUUAGGGAAGAACAUACGUGUAAGUAACUAUGCACGUCUUGACGGUACCUAAUCAGAAAGCCACGGCUAACUACGUGCCAGCAGCCGCGGUAAUACGUAGGUGGCAAGCGUUAUCCGGAAUUAUUGGGCGUAAAGCGCGCGUAGGCGGUUUUUUAAGUCUGAUGUGAAAGCCCACGGCUCAACCGUGGAGGGUCAUUGGAAAACUGGAAAACUUGAGUGCAGAAGAGGAAAGUGGAAUUCCAUGUGUAGCGGUGAAAUGCGCAGAGAUAUGGAGGAACACCAGUGGCGAAGGCGACUUUCUGGUCUGUAACUGACGCUGAUGUG
rnacentral:rRNA from 1 species